rnacentral:tRNA from 1 species
CGGGGCAUAGCGCAGCUUGGUAGCGCGCCAGUUUUGGGUACUGGAUGUCGUGGGUUCAAAUCCCGCUGUCCCGACCA